AAGGGGCGGACUCUAAUCUUAUACAAUUUUGAGCUAAAAAAUUUAAAAAUCUUGUUAGGUUGUGAAAAGGCCACUAGAGCUAUAACUCAUUACCACCGAGACCAAGCCGAUCAGAAAGGCCGCCGUCUCCGGCACAAGCAGAGGUGGCAGUGAAGUGCAUCAUGUGUCAUUCCAAGCAGCUGGCGAAAGUCGCCAUGCCCAUGCUUAUACUAUUGCCGUUGCUGCUGCUGUGCUAUGGAGUUGGAAACAUCCAUUGCUCAACCGUUCAUGAUAACAGCGGAGAUCUGAAGGCACUCCUCGAUUUCAGGCAGGGCAUUCCCAGCGAUCCAUAUGGAGCCAUGAGCAAUUGGACCAUGAACUCCCACUUCUGUCGGUGGAAUGGUAUCACGUGCACCUGGACACGACGACAAUGGCGUGUCCUGUCGCUCGCCCUCCCAGACAAAAAUUUAGCUAGAAAAAUCAGCUGCUCUCUCUGCAACCUCACCUUCCUUGUUUAUCUUGACCUCUCCUCUAAUAACUUCGUGAGUCCCUUACCAGACGCACUUACAAAUUGCUCCAACUUAAACUACUUAGAUUUAUCAUCAAACUUACUGGUGGGUACAAUUCCUCCAAAAUUAGGCCUGCUGUCA